rnacentral:lncRNA from 1 species
AUGGAAGUCAACAAGCACGAGGAGGGGCAAUUUUUCCCAGGAUGGCAGCAGGCAGAGGGAAGAGGUAUUUUUUCCGUAUUUAUUCACCUGGGGAGGCAGACGCUGUCAAUUUCUUCCUCUUGCCACACAAGUGGCCACGACCUUGUCACUGGGGCUGUCUGGCGGUUCUCGCCACCCCCUUUCUCCCGAGGAUGUUUAUGGCCAGGGCGCGCGCGGGGCUGGGCCGAGAAGGGCCUGGACCUCGGGGCGCAGCCCUCACCCCACGCCCGGCGCUGCGGGCUCCGGGCCAGGGCUCCCCUGGGCAGCGCCUUUGUUUUCCCGACUCCAGUUACGUUUGCGGAAGUGCUGCCCGCGCCCGGCGAGCCCGGGGUGCCGGCUGCAGCUCGCCCGGCACCCCCUAAAGAUGACAGCCGACCCGGAGGCCGAGCGGAGGGGGCAGCGGCGGGCGAGCAGGGCUGGGAGCGGAGACACCCCUCCCCCGCCCUCCCCGGGGCCCCUCCUCUGAAGCCCCCUCCCGACAGCAGGUGUGCGCGCCCCAGGGGGCUCCCUGCCCCGAGGCCCCGCGCGGCCCCCGCGGGGGAGGCCAGGGUGGGGCUCCCGGCCGCCCCCGCCGGGCCGACUCACCUGCUGCGGGCGGCGGCGGCGCUCAGCGGCGCGGGGCGCGCGGAGCCCUCUCCCGCGGGCGCGGGGCGGUGGCUGCCGGCGCCAGGGCGGCGCCUGUCGGGGCGGCGCGCACCAUCUCGUCCUGGGGGCUGCGGCGGGUGGGGCGGGAUGCGGCGGAGGGAUGCGGGCCGAGCGCAGCCGGCAGCGCGACCUUGUCUCCGCUGCCGCCUCCUCCGGCCCGGGCCUCUGCCGCUCUCCGGCUGGCCCGGGUCAGGGCUGGGCGCCGAGGACCCGCCGCCAGGUGCAGCGCUCCGCCUCCUGCGGCGCGGCGGAUGCGUCGGCAGCCGCUCCUCCCGGCCUCCCGCCAGCCCUGGCGGCCCCUGGGGACCGGGCGCCCAGCCCCGCUCCGGAGGCGCGCUGAGGAGGGGAAGCGACCGCGAGGCUCUAUCCCCGCAUCCUCCGACCCCCACCCUGGCUCGAACCCCCCACCCCCAUCCCCCUACACCCUCAUUCCCCGACACCCCUUCAGGCAAAUGA